rnacentral:lncRNA from 1 species
CUAUAUCCGAUCUUAUGGGCAUACUGAAUGACUCCUCAUAUACCAAUGGGAGGAAUUGUCAUUCAAUUUAGCUUAUGGAACAGAAGUGAUGAUCCCACUUGAGAUCGAAAUAUCUUAAAUAAGGAUUGAGUAAUACAGUGAGCUGAGCAAUUUCGAAUGUCGGAGAGCCGAUCUAGAUCUACUUUCAGAAGUCCGACAGCAUACUCAACUUCAAAUAAUAGCCUAUCGGCAAAG